AGCGAACGCUGGCGGCAGGCCUAACACAUGCAAGUCGAACGAACCUUUCGGGGUUAGUGGCGGACGGGUGAGUAACACGUAGGAACGUGCCUUUAGGUUCGGAAUAACUCAGGAUAACUUGUGCUAAUACCGAAUGUGCCCUUCGGGGGAAAGAUUUAUCGCCUUUAGAGCGGCCCGCGGUUGAUUAGCUAGUUGGUGGAGGGAAUGGCUCACCAAGGCGACGAUCAGUAGCUGCUCUGAGAGGAUGAUCAGCAACACUGGGACUGAGACACGGCCCAGACCAUUGGGGGAGGCAGCAGUGGGGAAUUUCGGCCGAGGGGCGCAAGGGGGAUCCAGCAAUAAUGCGUGAAGGAAGAAGGCCUCCGUGCCGGAUAAUGAUUGUGGACGUAACGAAACUACACUGCUUAAUACGCGGGGCUAAUGACGGUACCGUAAGAAUAAGCACCGGCUAACUACGUG
rnacentral:rRNA from 1 species